rnacentral:rRNA from 1 species
UACGGGGGGAGCAAACGUUGUUCGGAAUCACUGGGCGUAAAGGGCGUGUAGGCGGCUGGAUAAGUGGGAUGUUAAAUCCCCCGGCUCAACCGGGGACCUGCAUCUCAUACCGUUCAGCUCGAGCACAUCAGAGGAGACUGGAAUUCCCGGUGUAGCGGUGAAAUGCGUAGAUAUCGUGAGGAAGACCAGUGGCGAAGGCGGGUCUCUGGACAGUUCCUGACGCUGAGGCGCGAAGGCCAGGGGAGCAAACGGG